AUUACAAAUAGGAGUGAUCUGGCUAGCAAGGUGGGAAUGUAGUUGUCUUGGAAGUGAGUUGUGUGUCCGGAAAUGGUGUACUAUCUCCUGCUGACCAGACCUUGUUGAAAUCAGCUACUGGACAUCAGCAAAAAGUGUACUGGCAGUCCAUCUGCUUGCUGUGGGAAGAGUUUAAAAAGAAAACAAACAAAAAAACAAAUGAACACCCAUACCAAGGCCACAAGGAACAAGCUACCUCAGGAUACCACCUGGAUCCAAGACACGCUCUACGGACUACUAUUAGAAUAGUGAAACCAGUCAUGUUAACAACUGAAUUUGUUCCAAUUCUUGGACAAAGUACAGCAGAUGUACUCGUGCAGAAGAGUCAACAUCAGCUGAUUUCAUCAACAUGCUACAGCAAUGACUUUGUCAAAUGCUGAAGUCCUCAAUGAAAGGUCAGGACAUGUAGCUAAUCCAAAACAACAAACAAAAUUCUCUGCCUACCCCUCUGUACAGUGUGUUUGUUUUCCUGUCAGAGGUCUGAAGGUCUUAAGACCCAAUCUAUCUGUUGGUUGGCCAACAUGCUCAAAGUUAAAACAAACUUACGCCUUGCUAGCAUGAAUUCCCAAGCUAGAUCUACAUUUUCCUGACAGCACAAAACAGUUAAGGAUUUGGAGCACAGUUUAAUGGAGAUAGCACCACACUUCAGUUUUUAAAUGUUAGGGGAAUAUCUCAAACAGAUCAGAGAAUGAGAAAGUAGAGAAAACUGAGGUAAGGACCAAAAUGAAAAGGGGAAACAGGAAAGAAAGUUAAACUGAGAAUUAUUAUUUCAGAACAUGGAUUGAAGUAACUUUUAUGAACUUGCUGAACCUAGACACUUCUAACCUAAAUAGCAGGUCCUUCAUAGUAGAACACACCUCACUGUAUGAAGUUAAAUAUAUUUGUUACCACUAAUACAAGGAUGCUUUUAGGUAGGAUCACUUGAGGCUUUGUUUGUAUUGGCAUGACAUACUUAAGUAAAAGUAAUUUUGUGUACAUUUUAAGUAUCAUCUACAGCAUAAAAGGUUAACCAUUAUAGCUUCUCAGCGAACUCCAAGCAAUUCAUAACAGCUAAAAUCAAAAGAUCUGUGGUUUGUGGGGGGUUUAAAUAGCUACAAGCAAAAUAUGUUGUAUCAAGUGAAGAUAUGGUAGUAUGGCUGAAUUUCUACUAGGAUCAUGGUCAGCCAUGAAGAACUAGGGAAAAGUUCAUAUAGUCUUCCUCACCUGACAGCAUUUGAAACUGGUCCCACUAUUUGUACUUUAAACGUAAGCCAACUCUUUGAAUUAAUAGUUUUUAUUGUAUUUGUAAUGGUUAUGGCAGUCAUUAUCCUCCUAAAUACGAGCAGUAGUUUUUAACCUAUUUGACUCCUCACCUUACUAGCUGAGAAAGUUCCUGUUUAUUCAAACAGGCUAAAUUGUUCAUACUGCUUUACAUAACUUUGUUAAAUGCACAAUUAAGUCUUCUAAGAAUGCUAAGACUGAGAUGGAAAGAACAAUACAGGUUUCAAACUAAGAGAUUUUUUUUG